rnacentral:rRNA from 1 species
CAGGCCUACACAUGCAAGUCGAACGGCAGCACGGGAGCUUGCUCCUGGUGGCGAGUGCGGACGGGUGAGUAACGCGUAGGAAUCUGCCUGGUAGUGGGGGACAACUGGGGAAACUCAAGCUAAUACCGCAUACGCCCUACGGGGGAAAGCGGAGGUCUUCGGACUUCGCGCUAUCAGAUGAGCCUGCGUAGGAUUAGCUUGUUGUGGGGUAAAGGCUCACCAAGGCGACGAUCCUUAGCUGGUCUGAGAGGAUAUCAGCCACACUGGGACUGAGACACGGCCCAGACUCCUACGGGAGGCAGAGUGGGGAAUAUUGGACAAUGGGCGAAAGCCUGAUCCAGCAAUGCCGCGGUGUGAAGAAGGCCUGCGGGUUGUAAAGCACUUUCAGUAGCGAGGAAAACUGAUGGUUAAUACCCAUUGGUCUUGACGUUAACUACAGAAGAAGCACCGCUAACUCCGUGCCAGCAGCCGCGGUAAU